UAUGGGAGUAGACAACAGGGAUUGCCCCAGUAACGGCGAGUGAAGCGGCAACAGCUCAAAUUUGAAAUCUGGCCCCCAGGGUCCGAGUUGUAAUUUGUAGAGGAUGCUUUUGGCGAGGUGCCUUCCGAGUUCCCUGGAACGGGACGCCACAGAGGGUGAGAGCCCCGUCUGGUCGGCCACCGAGCCUCUGUAAAGCUCCUUCGACGAGUCGAGUAGUUUGGGAAUGCUGCUCAAAAUGGGAGGUAUAUGUCUUCUAAAGCUAAAUACUGGCCAGAGACCGAUAGCGCACAAGUAGAGUGAUCGAAAGAUGAAAAGCACUUUGAAAAGAGGGUUAAAAAGUACGUGAAAUUGUUGAAAGGGAAGCGCCUAUGACCAGACUUGGGCCCGGUGAAUCAUCCAGCGUUCUCGCUGGUGCACUUCGCCGGGCACAGGCCAGCAUCAGUUUGGCGCGGGGGACAAAGGCUCUGGGAAUGUGGCUCCCCCGGGAGUGUUAUAGCCCACCGCGUAAUACCCUGCGCCGGACUGAGGUACGCGCAUUCGCAAGGAUGCUGGCGUAAUGGUCAUCAGCGACCCGUCUUGAAACACGGACCAAGGAGUCGUCUUCGUAUGCGAGUGUUCGGGUGUCAAACCCCUACGCGUAAUGAAAGUGAACGUAGGUGAGAGCUUCGGCGCAUCACCGACCGAUCCUGAUGUUCUCGGAUGGAUUUGAGUAAGAGCAUACGGGGCCGGACCCGAAAGAAGGUGAACUAUGCCUGUAUAGGGUGAAGCCAGAGGAAACUCUGGUGGAGGCUCGCAGCGGUUCUGACGUGCGAAUCGAUCGUCAAAUAUGGGCAUGGGGGCGAAAGACUAAUCGAACCUUCUAGUAGCUGGUUUCCGCCGAAGUUUCCCCUCAGGAA
rnacentral:rRNA from 1 species